UGGGCAACCUGCCCCUAGCUCUGGGAUAACUGCGGGAAACUGUAGCUAAUACCGGAUGUGACACGAGACUGCAUGGUCUUCGUGUGGAAAGAUUUAUCGGCUAGGGAUGGGCCCGCGGUCUAUCAGCUUGUUGGUGGGGUAAUGGCUCACCAAGGCGACGACGGAUAACCGGCCUGAGAGGGCGACCGGUCACACUGGGACCGUGAGACGACCGCCGACGCCUCCGGACGGGACGGA
rnacentral:rRNA from 1 species